rnacentral:tRNA from 1 species
AAGAAAGUGACAGAGUGGUAAUGUGGCUGGCUUGAAACUAGCAUGUGGGGGUUCAAUUCCUUCCUUUCUUG